rnacentral:lncRNA from 1 species
AUUUCUCUUAACGUUUAGAAGUUAAAUGAAAAAUGGAUUGUGGAUUAUAGCCUGAGCAGAUUUGAGCCUAAAUGUAAUAUAACAGCUCGUGGCAAAUGGAGGUAGCAGGAGAGUAGAGCCAACUAGCCAAAAAUCCCCUGGAAAGGUGAAACUGAAAUCACUCAUUCAUUCAAAAAGUGUUUACUGAGUAGCUUCAAAGAGCAAAUAUUAGGUUAGAUGCAGUGGGUGAUGUAAGGAUGAUUCAGACAACUAUUUCUCAUGGACUUUGCUUACUGAGCCAUCAACACACGGCCACCUUUUUCUAGAUGAAGUAUCCCAUCAUUUGAUUCUGGAUUGAGAACUCUUUGAGAGCAGAGACCAUGGCUUCACCUGAGUAUCCCCAGAGCCUGACAUCA